CAAAGUCUCGUAACGUCUAGUAUCAAGCCACAAGCGCAAAAAUCUAAGGACAUAUUUAUAUUAUUGACAAACAGCCAGUCUAUUCUUCCUUCCUUUUCCGUUUCUUUACUGACAAUUUCUCUCAGACAACCGAGUCAUACCAAACGCGCCAAACAAAAAGUAGUGAGAAUCAGAGCAAGCUAAUGUAUGAAAGGAGAAGCACGCUUUUUGUUUUGGCAGAUGGAACAACGCAUACACAAAACGAAUGAAUGAAAAAUGAUGGGAUAUGUUGAUGAAUCCAGACACUUUUCUUUCAACCCUAAUUUUUUCUCUGAGGUCCUGCACUUGCGUCUCCUUUUGCCGCGCAAUUCAGGCCUGCGUGGUCAAAUCGUUGGAUUAUAGAGAUGGGUUCAUUGGCGAUCAGCUGGUUUCUUGUUAUUCAAGUUUGGGCCGUGCAGAUGAUGCACGGAACCUGUUCGAUGAAUUGCCCCAUAAGGACUUGGUCUCCUGGAAUUCUUUGAUUUCUGGGUUUUCGCGAAGAGGGUAUGUGGAUAAAUGCUUGAAUGCAUUUUUUAGGAUGAAGUUUGAAAUGGGAAUACAACCCAAUGAGGUUACACUUAUGUCUAUAAUCUCCGCCUGUGCUAGUAGGGGAGCUGUUGUUGAAGGAAUGUACAUUCACGGCUCUGCAUUCAAGUUGGGUGUGCUGUGGGAAGUUAAGCUUGUCAAUUCUUUGAUUAAUUUCUAUGGAAAGUCAGGCUCUUUGGAUGAAGUUUUUCAACUGGUUGAGACAAUGCCGAUAGCAAAUGUUGUAUCAUGGAAUUUAAUGAUUGCGAUUCACACUGAAAAUGGGAGUGCAGCAGAUGGAGUGGCUUAUUUUAAUCUCAUGAGAAGGUCUGGAAUUGAUCCGGAUGAUGGCACUGCGGUGUCCUUGCUUCAAGCUUGUGAGAAUUUAGGUUUGCGGAAACUCUCAGAGUGCAUCCAUGGUAUGAUAAUGAAAUGUGGUCUCAAUGAAAAUGUCACAAUUGCAACCGGACUGCUGGAUUUGUAUGCAAAGUUGGGGAGACUUAAUUACUCACUUAAGAUUUUCGGGGAAAUAAAUAUUCCGGACAAAGUAGCUUGGACUGCUAUGCUUGCAGCCUAUGCUGUGCAUGGGUAUGGGAGAGAAGCAAUGAAGCUCUUUGAAAACAUGCUUAAAGAAGGUGUGGAGCCUGAUCACGUCACCUUCACACAUUUGCUAAGUGCUUGUAGCCACUCGGGACUUGUCGAGGAGGGGAAGAAUUACUUCAACAUUAUGCCUCAAGUUUAUGGAAUUGAGCCUAGGUUGGAUCACUAUUCAUGCAUGGUUGAUCUUCUGGGACGCUCUGGGCUUCUAAAUGAUGCUUACAAGCUGAUUAGACGUAUGCCAAUGGAGCCAAACUCUGGCGUAUGGGGGGCUCUUUUUGGUGCUUGUAGGGUUUAUGGUAACACUCAACUUGGGAAGGAAGUUGCUGAGAGAUUAUUUUCUUUGGACCCAUCAGAUUCCAGAAACUAUAUCAUGCUAUCCAAUAUGUACUCUGCAGCUGGUUUGUGGAGGGAUGCUUCAAAGGUGAGGGCUUUGAUGAAGGACAAAGGUCUCGUUAGAAACCCUGGAUGCAGUUUUAUCGAACACGGAAAUAAAAUCCAUCGCUUUGUCGUGGGUGAUCAAUCUCACCCUGACUCAGAUAAGAUAUAUACCAAAUUGGAAGAAGUGAUUGGAAAGAUCCGAGAAGCUGGAUUUGUGUCUGAAACAGAAUGUGUUCUACAUGAUGUUGAAGAGGCGGUGAAAGAGGAUAUGAUCAGCAAGCACAGUGAGAAAUUAGCCAUUGCAUUUGGGCUUUUGGUGACGAAUGCUGACAUGCCAAUCAUUAUUACCAAGAACCUUAGAAUCUGUGGAGACUGUCACAGCACUGCAAAACUCAUAUCGUUGAUUGAGAAGCGGAGUAUCAUAAUUCGAGAUUCAAAGCGUUUCCACCAUUUUGCGAAUGGAAUAUGUUCGUGUGGAGAUUAUUGGUGAUCAGGAACUUCUGCUUAUGAUGACUCUGCACACGGUGGUGGUUGUAAUCUUUUCAGAUAUCGGAAAACAAAGGGAUUUGGGGAGAAUCACAAUCUUUUCCAAGCCCAGAACCCCAACUCUAUUUUGCAGCAAUAACGGAUGUCGGAGAUGUGCUUGACCUUAGACCGAUCCAAGCUUCCUUCUCCAUGUAUUCGCUCUAUGAGCUCACUGGGAACAUCUAUAAAAUUCAAUUCUUGGAGACAUGUAAGGUGUUCGAUUCCAUCAGGCAGUUGUUUUAACUCCAUGCACUCACCAAUUCGCAGUGUCCGUAAUGAUGGCAUCACCCCAUUCUCUAUGAUGAUGGUAUUCAAUUCAGGGAAAUUGCCUACACUUAAUUCAGUAAGCUUUUGGAAUCCGGUUUGAAAGAUUAAUUGAUUCCCGACAUGUGCAUUGUGUAGCACAAGUUUGUUCAGAUUCGGUAGUGUUUGGAUGUAAGGAAGGAAAUCCUCUUUUAAUCUGGACCAAUGCAAACU